CCAGGUCCAGAGUUCACAAGUGAUUUGCUCUUGAGAAAGGAACUUCUUCUUGACUGCUUUGUCUUUUGGUCUGCCAAACUGAAAUAGGCAAAAUGGACGAAGUAUACCAGAUCUCUUCUAUUGAGAAGGUGCAGCAGCUGGAACAAGAACUAGCAGCACAGCUGGCAGAGCUGAAGGCAGAAAUAGAAGACAACAGGAUACUCCAGGGAACACUGAGUAGGGCAUACAGGAUGCAUCUUAUUUCAGAAAAGAAAGGGAGGUAAUACUGAAGAAAGGCUUACAGGUGACAGAAGCAAAACCUCUUGUUAUUCAGGCUGAUGUCGUGCAGAGGGAGUUAGAGAGCUGGUGGAGAAGGGAGCACACAGCAGCAAACUUGCCUCU